CCCACACUUUCAAAAUUAACCCUGACUGUGUUCUCUAGAAUGCCUUUCGGGACAAUGAUUAGAGAAUGAUUUGCAAAGUGUAGUCACCACAAUUUGUGUUCCUACUAUUCAAAGAAUUUUUGUGCAACUUAGGAACCAGCAGUAAUAUUUACCUCUUGAAUGGCCCUAAUUAGGAGGGGCAGUCUCUUUAGUUGGUACAAUUCUUU